GUCACCGAGUGCCCGGCGGGGCAGAGCCCGGGCUGGGGACAGGGGGACACGGGGACAGGGCCACCCCCAGCCCGGGGAAAGCGGCGCGCAAGGGGCGGAGCAAAACGUGAGGCGAAAAGUGAGGGGAAAAGUGACGCGAAAAGUGCAAAAAGAGCGGCGGGAGAGGCCCAAAGCACUGUGAACAAUUCUCCAAGCAAACACCACUGGGGAUAUGAACAGAAAAUGUCACACCACGAGCACCAGCACAUCAGCAGCUCUUCUUUAUUCCUUCAACAACGCCCCUGGAAUUUGUUUGGUCCUUUGAGAGGGGGGGAAAAAAAAAUUCAAAUUAUCUUCUGCAACAUCCAUGUGUUUGUAUUGGACACAUUUAUAUUUAUAUUGAUAUUUAUUUGUGGGUUGGUUUAAAUUGCACUGGGAGAACUGAA